GCAGUGGUUCAGCAGUGGAAUUCUUGCCUUCCACGCAGGAAGCCCAGGUAUGAUUCCUGGCCACUGUA
rnacentral:tRNA from 1 species